rnacentral:rRNA from 1 species
AUACGGAGGGUGCAAGCGUUACUCGGAAUCACUGGGCGUAAAGCGCGCGCAGGCGGCUAUUUAAGUUGGAUGUGAAAGCCUACGGCUCAACCGUAGAACUGCAUCCAAAACUAUUUAGCUAGAGUGUGGGAGAGGAAGAUGGAAUUAGUUGUGUAGGGGUAAAAUCCGUAGAGAUAACUAGGAAUACCAAAAGCGAAGGCAAUCUUCUGGAACACUACUGACGCAGGCGCGAAAGCGUGGGGAGCAAACAGGAUUAGAAACCCUUGUAGUCC